rnacentral:rRNA from 1 species
CACGGGGGGAGCAAGCGUUGUUCGGAAUCACUGGGCGUAAAGGGCGUGUAGGCGGUCCGGUAAGUGAGAUGUGAAAUCCCUCGGCUCACCCGAGGACCUGCAUCUCAAACUGCCUGACUCGAGUACGGGAGAGGAUGUGGGAAUUCCUGGUGUAGCGGUGAAAUGCGUAGAUAUCAGGAGGAACACCGGUGGCGAAAGCGCACAUCUGGCCCGAUACUGACGCUGAGGCGCGAAAGCUAGGGGAGCAAACGGG